rnacentral:rRNA from 1 species
GAUGAACGCUGGCGGCGUGCCUAAUACAUGCAAGUCGAGCGAACAGAUGAGGAGCUUGCUCCUCUGACGUUAGCGGCGGACGGGUGAGUAACACGUGGAUAACCUACCUAUAAGACUGGGAUAACUUCGGGAAACCGGAGCUAAUACCGGAUAAUAUAUUGAACCGCAUGGUUCAAUAGUGAAAGACGGUUUUGCUGUCACUUAUAGAUGGAUCCGCGCCGCAUUAGCUAGUUGGUAAGGUAACGGCUUACCAAGGCAACGAUGCGUAGCCGACCUGAGAGGGGGAUCGGCCACACUGGAACUGAGACACGGUCCAGACUCCUACGGGAGGCAGCAGUCGGGAAUCUUCCGCAAUGGGCGAAAGCAUGACGGAGCAACGCCGCGUGAGUGAUGAAGGUCUUCGGAUCGUAAAACUCUGUUAUGAGGGAAGAACAAAUGUGUAAGUAACUAUGCACGUCUUGACGGUACCUAAUCAGAAAGCCACGGCUAACUACGUG